rnacentral:rRNA from 1 species
UACCAGCACCCCGAAUGGUCGGGACGAUUAUUGGGCCUAAAGCCUCCGUAGCCGGUUUUACAAGUCCUCCGUUAAAUCCAGCUGCUUAACAGAUGGGCUGCGGAGGAUACUAUAAGACUAGGAGGCAGGAGAGGCAAGCGGUACUCAGUGGGUAGGGGUAAAAUCCGUUGAUCCAUUGAAGACCACCAGUGGCGAAGGCGGCUUGCCAGAAUGCGCUCGACGGUGAGGGAUGAAAGCUGGGGGAGCAAACCGG